AAAAAUAUAUUUUUGGACGAAUUCAAACAUUGGUUACAAUCCCCGAACCGAAGCUAGAAGGAAUCGAACCAAACGUGAUCCAAUAAUUAGUAAAACCCGAACGAGACUUGUGAGCAUAACACCGAAAAUUCGAAUCAACCAAACCGAAACCGACGGACCCAACCGCCUAGGCCUACUAUACUGCAUACAGUUUAUUAAGGUCCAACUUCCAAGUUUACCUAUGGCCCAACACCUUGUCACAACAAAUCCAUUACCCGACCUCAA
rnacentral:lncRNA from 1 species